GUUAGGAAUAUUGGACAAUGGGCGAAAGCCUGAUCCAGCCAUGCCGCGUGAACGAUGAAGGCCUUCGGGUUGUAAAGUUCUUUAGCCGAUGAUUAUAAUGACUGUAGUCGGAAAAUAAGCCCCGGCUAACUUCGUGCCAGCAGCCGCGGUAAUACGAAGGGGGCGAGCGUUAUUCGGAAUCACUGGGCGUAAAGCGUGCGUAGGCGGUUGUGUAAGUUAGGAGUGAAAGCCCAGGGCUCAACCUUGGAAUUGCUCUUAAAACAGCAAGGCACGAAUCUCGGAGAGGAUAGCGGAAUUUCCAGUGUGGCAGUGAAAUGCGUAGAUAUUGGAAGGAACACCAGUGGCGUAAGCGGCUAUCUGGACGAGUAUUGACGCUGAGGCACGAAAGCGUGGGGAGCAAACAGGAUUAGAAACCCCUGUAGUCC
rnacentral:rRNA from 1 species